rnacentral:rRNA from 1 species
UACGAAGGGGGCGAGCGUUGUUCGGAAUUACUGGGCGUAAAGGGCGCGUAGGCGGCCGAUCAAGUCAGAUGUGAAAGUCCUGGGCUUAACCUGGGGACUGCAUUUGAUACUGAUUGGCUUGAAUGCAGGAGAGGAUAGCGGAAUUCCCGGUGUAGAGGUGAAAUUCGUAGAUAUCGGGAGGAACACCAGUGGCGAAGGCGGCUCUCUGGACAGGUACUGACGCUGAGACGCGAAAGCGUGGGUAGCAAACAGG